rnacentral:piRNA from 1 species
UGACCUCAGGGCUGCGAGACCCUCGAUUU